rnacentral:tRNA from 1 species
GUUGGUAGAGCUCAGUGGCAGAGCAUGUGCUUAGCAUGCACGAGGCUCUGGGUUCAAUCCCCAACGCCGCCA